rnacentral:lncRNA from 1 species
UGAUCCCUUUCGCUUUAUGGCGUGCUCGUUUGGGUUGGGCGUCGGCUAAGAGUGCUCGGAGCGUGGAUUAACUCCAGUCUCCAAUCAAGUGUGUAUUUCUCAUUACUCUAGCUAUAGGAUGGCUACUUCGGGCCGCGAUGGGCCGAAAGGGGUCAUGUGGGCCCAAUGGGCCUACGAGCCCAAUUGGAUAAGUUGUUUGAUUGUGUAGUAAAUAUUGGACUAGGCUAGGUGAAUCUCAUAUUUGUGGCUAAAUUUGGGCUAAAAGGGCCACACGAUCGUGUGGGCCCAUUUGGGCCGAGAAUAGGCUUUAGGCCCAUUCGUAUUAUUAUCCCUAUUUAGAAUACUUUAGUUUACCAAAUUACUGAAAUGCCCUCAAAUUGUAAAAUUACCAAAGUACCCUCGAUUUAUAGAAUUACCAUUUUACCCUCGAUUUAUAGAAUUAACAUUUUACCCUCGAUUUAUAGAAUUACUGUUUUACCUUCGAUUUACAGAAUUAACAUUUUACCCUCGAUUUAUAGAGUUACCAUUUUACCCUUGAUUUAUAGAAUUACCAUUUUACCCUCGAUUUAUAGAAUACUAUUUUACCCUCGAUUUAUAGAAUUUCCAUUUUACCCUUGAUUUAUAGAAUUACCAUUUUACCCUUGAUUUAUAGAAUUACUGUUUUACCCUCGAUUUACAGAAUUAUCGUUUUACCCUCGAUUUACAAAAUUACUAAAAUACCCUUAGUUUACAAAAUUACCAAAAUACCCUCGAUCAGUAAAAUUACCAAAAUACCCCUGGUUUGUAAAAUUAUUAAAAUAACCCUGGUUUGUAAAAUUACCAAAAUACCCCUAGCUUGUAAAAUUACCAAAAUACCCCUAGCUUGUAAAAUUACCAAAAUACCCCUGAUUUGUGAAAUUAUCAAAAUACUCUCGAUUUGUAGAAUUAUCGAAAUACCCCUGUAGGGUAGAAUUACCGAAAUACCCCUAUAAGGUAGAAUUACUGAAAUAACCCUAUAGGGUAGAAUUACCGAAAUACCCUUGUAAGGUAGAAUUAUUGAAAUACCCCUGUAGGGUAGAAUUACUGAAAUACCAUUGUAGGGUAGAAUUACCGAGAUACCCUAGUGGGGUAAAAUUGCCAUUUUUCCCCUAGGGUGUUAAAUGAUUGUUUUGCCCUUGUGGGCAAGUGACUGACUUGGACUGUGUGGUUGAUGGAUUUGAUUGUGAAUAUAUGUUGGUGAUAUGAAUGACUUGACUGUGAUUGUUUGAUUCAAAUAUGGGCAUGACAUUCUGCAUACAUGACAUGUUGCAUGGGUUGGGUUUUAUAAAUGGAGGAAGUGCUAAAAGGGCUAUGCCCCAGUUUAUCGAAAAGGGCUUUGCCCCAGUUUAUCAAAAAGGGCUUUGCCCCAGUUAUUAAAAGAGGCUAGGCCUCUAGUUAUAUGAUAAAGCAUCUAUGCUACCAGUGGAGAGUUUGGUUGGGUGGGUUGAGUUAUUCCCCACAUGGUGUGUUGGUUGGUACGGGUGGAGAGUAGCGGAUGUUGGGUUGAGUAGUCUCCCCAAAUGGGCUUGCAUACACUCAUUGAUAUUAUAUGUGAUAUUGAAAUGGGCCUAUGGGCCAUACCGCUUACAGUAAAAGCUUCGGCCAGUGAUAUGAUUUAUGAAAAGGCUUCGGCCUAGUGAUAUGAUUUAUGAAAAGGUUUCUGCCCAAUAUAUGUCGAGACUGAAUUAGGGCUUAAGCCCAUAUUGCUACUGUUUAAGGGCUUUGGCCUAGACUGUACUGUUACUGAAUAGGGCUUUGGCCCAGAUUGUACUGACACUGUGUUAUUCACUGUUUGUUUUUUUGUUGGGCAUUACACACUGAGUUUUCGUAAACUCACCCUGUUUCUAACUGUGCAGGUAAUCCCUAAGCUUAGAUGGUUUGGAGCUGCGAGGGACUCGGAGAUGGCCACACUACUGUUUCUGUUUCUUUUAAUUGCAACAAAUAGCCAAUUUAUUUCUUUAUAAGUUUUAUCUUAUUAAUAUUAUUAUUUGGUUUUGGGUUGUAAUAAGGCUAUUUUAAUUAUUUUUCUGGGAUUAUUUUAUUUUAUACCCUAUAUUUUUCUGAUAACAAUAUGAGUUAGACCUAGGGCGCGUUUCCAAA